rnacentral:lncRNA from 1 species
CGGUUAUAAAAAACAAAGACAUUUUUCUUCACAAAAUGUUUUAACAACUCAAACUCUGAGAACUUGCCAUAAAGUCAAAACAUUUUGUAUUUUCUCUAUCUGACCAUAAACUCCUUUGAGGUAAAAAGCAAUCUUUGACUCUUAGCCAAGGAUAUUCUGUGAAUGUUGUUUGGGGUAUGUUUAUGAGCUAAUAUUCAUUAGGCAGAAAAAUCUGGUAGAGAAUUUAAAAUAUUUAAUCCUCAUAAUUUUCUUCUUGAAAAAUCAAAUUGACAUUAUUUAGUUGGAAGAAAGUUGCCAACUUUUAUUAAAAUUGUUAGAUGCAAAAGUCACUCCAUCUUAGUAAUAGGUGAAGUAAUCUUCUGACCUCAAUUUGUGAUAUUAUUUGUUGUAGAAUCUGGUAAUCUUGAAAUACAGACCUUUUUUCAGUGAGCAAUUUUACUGAACUAUGAAUGCAGUUUAAUUAAGAAAGAGGUCAGAGUGGUAAUG